ensembl:ncRNA B0034.9 ncRNA
UUCCAACAACUUCCCCAAAGGACUAUAGGCACAUAAAAAGCAACACACACAAAAUAAAUGUAGUCGUUGAGCAAAGCGACAGAGAAAUGGAAAAAAGGCUUCAACGCGUUUUUGUCGUUGAGAUUUGCGAUGGCGAUAAAAAAAAUGAAAUAGAGUGUGAAUUUGAGAG